GAUGAACGCUGGCGGCGUGCCUAAUACAUGCAAGUCGAGCGAACAGACGAGGAGCUUGCUCCUCUUACGUUAGCGGCGCACGGGCGAGUAACACGUGGAUAACCCACCUAUAAGACUGGUAUAACCUCGGGAAACCGGCGCUAAUACCGGAUAAUAUACUGAUCCGCAUGGUUCAAUAGUGAAAGACGGUUUUGCUGUCACUUAUAGAUGGAUCCGCGCCGCAUUAGCUAGUAGGUAAGGUAACGGCUUACCACGGCAACGAUGCGUAGCCGACCUGAGAGGGUGAUCGGCCACACUGGAACGGAAACGCGGACCAGCCUCCUAAGGGAGGCAGCAGUAGGGAAACUGCCGCAAUAGGCGAGAGCCUGACGGAGCAACGCGGCGUGGGUGAUGAAGGUCUUCCGAGCGUAAGACUCGGUUAUUGGGGAAGAACAGAUGUCUAAGGAACUAUGCACGUAUUGACGGUACCUGAUCAGAAAGCAACGGCUAACUACGUG
rnacentral:rRNA from 1 species